CAAUACCGCGUGAGGGAUGAAGGAUYUUGGUCUGUAAACCUCUUUUCUCAAGAAAGAAGUUCUGACGGUACUUGAGGAAUAAGCAUCGGCUAACUCCGUGCCAGCAGCCGCGGUAAUACGGGGGAUGCAAGCGUUAUCCGGAAUCAUUGGGCGUAAAGCGCCUGUAGGUUGUUUAAUAAGUCUGUUGUUAAAGCCUAGGGCUUAACCCUAGAAAAGCAAUGGAAACUACUAGACUWGAGUAUGGCAGGGGUAGAGGGAAUUUCUAGUGUAGCGGUGAAAUGCGUAGAUAU
rnacentral:rRNA from 1 species